AUGCAUGACAUUAAAGGUAGUUUUGAUUAAACCGCUGCUAAAUGAAUGCAAUUAACGGCAGUUUUGUCCAAACUGCCGGUAAAUUCUUGAAUUUUGUGGUAGUUUUAUAUAAACUGUCGAGAAA